CCAGAGUGUGAAUGCUUAGUUGUGACUGACAGUGUAACACCAAAGGCUAUGCACUGAUUUCACCUCUGUCUCGUUUUUGUAGCUGAAUGAUGGCGCUUGGAGUUGAUUUAUUGGUGCUUUGCUUGGUAUCAGUCUGCUACACUGAUGUAGGACUGAGUGCUGGCAUUGGCUUUCCUGUAAAAUAUAAGUUGGCUGCUGGAUCUUCUGGCAGCAGCUCUGGGUCCAGCCAGGCACAAGUGGCAAAGAGCGCUUGUGGGUCUGACCAAGGCACGGGAUCCUUCUCCUACUUGACCAGCACUGUAGGUUCCCAGAAUGGCCAAGAAUCUUUUCAGUAUGUGGCAGUCCAGCCUCUCUCAGAUCCUGUUCCUCCUAAUGAUCCUACAGUACUUAUAGGCUCUACUAGGGUACAGGGGGUAGUGCCCCAGCGAGUGCU